AGAGCGAACGCUGGCGGCAGGCUUAACACAUGCAAGUCGAGCGGGCGUAGCAAUACGUCAGCGGCAGACGGGUGAGUAACGCGUGGGAACGUACCUUUUGGUUCGGAACAACCCAGGGAAACUUGGGCUAAUACCGGAUAAGCCCUUACGGGGAAAGAUUUAUCGCCGAAAGAUCGGCCCGCGUCUGAUUAGCUAGUUGGUGAGGUAAUGGCUCACCAAGGCGACGAUCAGUAGCUGGUCUGAGAGGAUGAUCAGCCACAUUGGGACUGAGACACGGCCCAAACUCCUACGGGAGGCAGCAGUGGGGAAUAUUGGACAAUGGGCGCAAGCCUGAUCCAGCCAUGCCGCGUGAGUGAUGAAGGCCCUAGGGUUGUAAAGCUCUUUGUGCGGGAAGAUAAUGACGGUACCGCAAGAAUAAGCCCGGCUAACUUCGUGCCAGCAGCCGC
rnacentral:rRNA from 1 species